rnacentral:tRNA from 1 species
GAGGAUGUGGCUCAGUAGUAGAGCUCCUGCCUUCCAUGUACAAGGCCCUGGGUUCGAGUCCCAGCACCACA